CAAGCGUUGUUCGGAUUUACUGGGCGUAAAGGGCGCGUAGGCGGCAAUUCAAGUCAUCUGUGAAAUCUCCGGGCUUAACUCGGAACGGUCAGAUGAUACUGCUUUGCUCGAGUGCGGAAGGGGCAAUCGGAAUUCUUGGUGUAGCGGUGAAAUGCGUGGAUAUCAAGAGGAACACCUGAGGUGAAGACGGGUUGCUGGGCCGACACUGACGCUGAAGCGCGAAAGCCAGGGGAGCAAACGGG
rnacentral:rRNA from 1 species